rnacentral:rRNA from 1 species
CAAGCGGUGGAGCAUGUGGUUUAAUUCGAUGCAACGCGAAGAACCUUACCUACUCUUGACAUCCAGAGAAUUUGCUAGAGAUAGCUUAGUGCCUUCGGGAACUCUGAGACAGGUGCUGCAUGGCUGUCGUCAGCUCGUGUUGUGAAAUGUAGGGUUAAGUCCCGCAACGAGCGCGACCCUUGUCAUUAGUUGCUACAUUCAGUUGGGCACUCUAAUGAGACUGCCGGUGACAAGCCGGAGGAAGGUGGGGAUGACGUCAAGUCCUCAUGGCCCUUAUAGGUGGGGCUACACACGUCAUACAAUGGCUGGUACAAAGGGUUGCCAACCCGCGAGGGGGAGCUAAUCCCAUAAAGCCAGUCGUAGUCCGGAUCGUAGUCUGCAACUCGACUACGUGAAGUCGGAAUCGCUAGUAAUCGUGGAUCAGAAUGUCACGGUGAAUACGUUCCCGGGUCUU